rnacentral:snRNA from 1 species
ACACUAGGGAGACAAUACAAUCUGGCACCCCACUGAUCGCCAGGGUUGAUUCAGCAGAUCUGGUUGGCUAGGUGGGUGUCCCCUUCCUCCCUGUAGGCUCCAUGUGAGUCCCUCCCGAAGCUGUGUGCUCUGUCAAAGAGGACAACCGCCAGCAGAAGAGACCUUUCCUCGGACAAGGGUACACUUUAAUUUGGGUGUUGGGCAUUUUGUCUCAGCAAUGAGAAAAAAGUAACCAAGAAACCAUCAUACCCAUAUUUACUUUUCUUUAUUUUCAAAAAAUAUUUUAUUAU